UGGGGAAUCUUGCACAAUGGGCGAAAGCCUGAUGCAGCAACGCCGCGUGCGGGAAGACAGCCCUAGGGUUGUAAACCGCUUUCAGCAGGGAAGAAACUGACGGUACCUGCAGAAGAAGAUGCGGCCAACUACGUGCCAGCAGCCGCGGUGACACGUAGGCAUCAAGCGUUAUCCGGAUUUAUUGGGCGUAAAGAGCUCGUAGGCGGUUCGGUAAGUCGGGUGUGAAAACUCUGGGCUCAACCCAGAGAGGCCACUCGAUACUGCUGUGACUAGAGUGCGGUAGGGGAGCGGGGAAUUCCUGGUGUAGCGGUGAAAUGCGCAGAUAUCAGGAGGAACACCAGUGGCGAAGGCGCUGCUCUGGGCUGUAACUGACGCUGAGGAGCGAAAGCAUGGGUAGCAAACAGGAUUAGAUACCCUGGUAGUCCAUGCCGUAAACGUUGGGCACUAGGUGUGGGUCUCAACCAACGAGAUCCGCGCCGUCGCUAACGCAUUAAGUGCCCGCCUGGGAGUACGGUCGCAAGACU
rnacentral:rRNA from 1 species